rnacentral:lncRNA from 1 species
UUUGCUUCAUAUACAGGGCUUGCUUCAUAGGGCAUGAAAAUUAUGUGCCUACACGCAUAUAUACAAAUUGACAUCAAUUCUAACCAUCUAAAUAACUAUCAAGAACUAAAUACAAUCCUCCAUUCCAUUCCAUUCCAAUUGUAGAAGUAAAAACGUAAAUUUCACCAGUUGCAGCAUUCAAAAAUGGCAUAAAUUGAAAUAGAAGAUGAAUUGCAGAAUUACUUACCAAUCAAUUGGGGAGAUCGAAUUUAUAUGCAAUUGUAGUGGAUAUUGAGAUUGAGAAGUGGCUGUGCAAUUUAUUAUUUUCUUCUUCUUCCUUUUUCUUUUUCUUUUUCUUUUUCUUUUUCGCUAUCUGAGAGUUUGAGGGUGAAUUUCUUCUGUGUGCGCGCUAGAAAGAGCCCCGAGCUGAGACCCGCGGGUUGAAGAUUAACUCACGUGCCAGAUUAAGAUAUUCUUACUCGCCCAGUCCCACAAAAAGUGUACAAGUUCAUUUUUUUU